rnacentral:lncRNA from 1 species
GCUGUGUUUGUUUGUCUCUUAGGAAAUUAGAACUAUGGAAUUUUUGGCAGCCUGGCCAUUUCAUUCAUUAAAAUGACAGCUCAAAUUCUAAUACUGAACAUGUUGCUACCAUCAAAUUUUGAUGUGAUUUUUCCUCAGAAGUCAUCAAAGACAUACAGAAGCAUGUGUAUAGCUGCAGAUGCACAUGACUAUUAUCUAUCAGUGGGAGUUGCUACAGUGUUUUCCCUGAACUUCAAGACUACUCAAAAAUACUGUUGAUUAGAAGAGCUUUAACAGAGGAGGCUGGAAGUCUUGGCCUGAGUGACUACUGAAAAGAUACCUGAAAGUCCCAGAGGUCAUCUAUUCUUCAUGUACCAAGCCUCCUCUGCAUUUAUGGUGGCUCCUUACCUGGUGUCAGACUUUUUCUGCCAACAUCACAUAAAUAAUACUGUACUUAAACAGUCCUUAAGGAACUGCUUUAGGAACCUGCCUUGUAGAGAAGCUCAAGUCUUUGAAAGGAGAAACUGGGUCACUAGAUAUCUUUCUAUGAAGAUCACUCAGUUUACAAAGAACCCAAUGCAACACUACUUCCCAUCUGGGAACAUAAACCGGUGAUGAUUUUUUUUCCAAUGCUCAAGUUGUUAGAUCCUAAAUUUCCAGCUGCUCAUACUGACACCUUUUCAGGGACUCUCUGUGAACAA